rnacentral:rRNA from 1 species
UACGUAGGGGGCGAGCGUUGUCCGGAAUUACUGGGCGUAAAGCGCACGUAGGCGGAUCGUUAAGUCGGGGGUGAAAUCCUGGAGCUCAACUCCAGAACUGCCUUCGAUACUGGCGAUCUUGAGUCCGGGAGAGGUGAGUGGAACUGCGAGUGUAGAGGUGAAAUUCGUAGAUAUUCGCAAGAACACCAGUGGCGAAGGCGGCUCACUGGCCCGGUACUGACGCUGAGGUGCGAAAGCGUGGGGAGCAAACAGG